GUCACACGGAAUCGAGAGCUC
rnacentral:snRNA from 1 species